rfam:Trichobilharzia regenti genome assembly, scaffold: TRE_scaffold0050718
GCACUAUAGAAGAGUCCAAAAAUAGGACGAAACAGCUGUCCAGUAC